rnacentral:lncRNA from 1 species
UGACCUCGUGAUCCGCCUGCCUCAGCCUCCCAAAAUGCUGGGAUUACAGCAUGAGCCACUGCGCCCAGCCCUCUUUCUCAUUUUUUAAAGACAGAAUACCAUCUUAUCAAGAUCAAUGCUUCCAAGACACUACGAAUUCACAGAAGAUGUGUCAGCCCUUCAGUCACAAGCAAUGCCCAGUGAACUGCAGAUUCUCAUCAGUUCAGAACAAGGCCACACAUGGAGACAAAGCAUGAUGAAUAGUCUGUUACUAUAACCCAGAGGAGCUGACCUUGGCAUGGGUGAGACCCAAAUUAGUAUCAAAGCUCAUAUUUCAUUGAAUAUCCUCUCUCAUAGCCACAGCUUUGACCAGAUGGAUGGAAGCUAAGAAAACAACCUCUUACCUUCAACAAAUAUGAACUCAGUCAUAGAAAACUUUUACAAAUAAUUGAAGUAUAUAAAAGAGCUUAUUCAAAGGUUAUUUUUCUUUCUUUUUUCCCUUCUUUUCAGACUCAGAUCCUAAACACUUUCAUUGUAAUAUUAACAAUUACAUGAUUCACGGUACAUUCUUUUAGAUUUCUUGGUUGUUAUAUAACAGAAAUUUAGAAGUUUUUGCAAAUAGACUCCAUUAUGUUCGAAGUGGUUUUUACUUAAUGAUUUUUUUAAACAAAUUCAAACAAACAAUACUUAACUGGCUUCUAGAAAAUUAUUCUAUUGGAUAUAUCGUACCUUUCAUUUACCUUUUAAAUAAGUCCUAGAGAAAUAAACUCAGGACAAUUUUAGUUUGCCUGUGUGCCACGUAUGUGUGUUCCCUCCUAAAACCAUCUUUGUGGACAGUCCAAUUCUAAAAUGUAAUUGGAAUUCUGGAAUAUUGUUGCAUGACAUUCUGCUGAAAUUUGACUACUGAAUCCAUAUAUACAACCUCUUUGGAUAAUAUAUGCAUAUUUUCCUUUUUCAAAUAAAAAGAAGUAAAUGUGAUGUGAGUACUGUUUCAAAUACUAGUACCAGAAGUUUUUUAAAAAGGUCAAUUUUGUUGAUACAAUUUUGGAGUCUAUUAUGAAUAAAUUGCCCCUUCUCAUAUAUCUUCAUUAUAUGCUAUGCUUCCUAAUUUCCACCAUUUCCCCCCAAAUUUGAAUAAAGUAGAAGUAUUCAAAAUAUUGGCUAAUAAAAAGAAAUACACUGCAUUUACUAAUUAGAAAAGUAAGUUCCUUUACUAAAUUUAAAUUAGAUGAUAUACAAAUAUAUUAUGAAUGAAAA